GUUCCUGUAGUUGAAUAACAACGAUGGCUUUUCAUGUCUUUAGUCCUGGUUGGAAUCCUGGCAAGAAUC
rnacentral:tRNA from 1 species